rnacentral:lncRNA from 1 species
AUGCUUCCUAAUAAUUACUUUUUUUUUUCUUUUUUGGUGUGUGGAUAUGAUCACUUAGAACAUAAACUAUACAUAACCAUUUGAGUAUGUUGACUAUACAUUUUAACAUGUGGGCACAGUUGUUCUGAAGGACGGUCGAUAAAGGUCUGGUCCAUGGAGAAUCAGAGAGAUCAGAGAAGUUUGGUCUGGAGGAUGAUGAACCUGAUUGAUUCCUCCCUCACACUGGGG